CACUGACGUUAAGUUUAAGGGCCGCGGUAUUCUGACCGUGCGAAGGUAGCAUAAUAAUUAGUCUCCUAAUUAGGGGCUUGUAUGAAUGGUCUGACAAGAUAGGAUCUGUCUCUGAACAAUAAAUAUAAAUUAAUAUUUAAGUAAAAAAGCUUAAAUAAAAUGAAGGGACGAUAAGACCCUAUAAAGCUUUAUGAUGUUGAUUCUUUAAUGUUAACUGUUUUAAUAUUAAAGCAUUUGAGAGUUGUAUCAUUUUACUGGGGCGGUAAAAGUAUAAAAGAAUAACUGCUUUUGUUGAAAUUGAACAAUAAUAGUUGAAAAAUGAAUUGAUCCAUUAUUAAUGAUUGCAAGAACAAGUUACUUUAGGGAUAACAGCGUAAUUUUUCUUGAGAGUUCACAUCGAAAGAAAAGUUUGCGACCUCGAUGUUGAAUUA
rnacentral:rRNA from 1 species